GACGAACGCUGGCGGCGUGGAUUAGGCAUGCAAGUCGAACGGUAUCAUCCUUUCGGGGGUGAGAGAGUGGCGAACUGGUGAGUAACACGUAGGUUAUCUACCCUCAAGACGGGGACAACCCAGGGAAACUUGGGCUAAUACCGGAUGUGAGCAACUUUUAGUUGUUUGAAAGGUGGCGUAAGCUGUCGCUUGGGGAUGAGCCUGCGUCCUAUUAGUUAGUUGGUGAGGUAACGGCUCACCUAGGCAAUGAUAGGUAGGCGGCCUUAACGGGUGGUCGCCCACACUGGGAUUGAGAUACGGCCCAGACUCCUACGGGAGGCAGCAGUCGAGAAUAGUCUACAAUGGUCGGAAGACUGAUAGUGCGACGCCGCGUGAACGAUGAAUCCCUUCGGGGUGUAAAGUUCUUUUAUAUGUGAGCAGUGCUUCUUAUAUUAACAGUAUGGGGAGAGAGAUAUUAGCAUAUGAAUAAGCAACGGCUAACUCCGUGCCAGCGGCCGCGGUAAU
rnacentral:rRNA from 1 species